rnacentral:rRNA from 1 species
CCUACGGGUGGCUGCAGUCGAGAAUCAUUCACAAUGGGGGAAACCCUGAUGGUGCGACGCCGCGUGGGGGAAUGAAGGUCUUCGGAUUGUAAACCCCUGUCAUGUGGGAGCAAAUUAAAAAGAUAGUACCACAAGAGGAAGAGACGGCUCACUCUGUGCCAGCAGCCGCGGUAAUACAGAGGUCUCAAGCGGUGUUCGGAAUCACUGGGCGUAAAGGGGGCGUAGGCUGUUUCGUAAGUCGUGUGUGAAAGGCGCGGGCCCAACCCGCGGAGGGCACAAGAUACUGCGAGACUAGAGUAUUGGAGGGGGAACCGGAAUUCUCGGUGUAGCAGUGAAAUGCGUAGAUAUCGAGAGGAACACUCGUGGUGAAGGCGGGUUCCUGGACAUUAACUGACGCUGAGGCACGAAGGCCAGGGGAGCGAAAGGGAUUAGAUACCCCAGUAGUC